rnacentral:rRNA from 1 species
AUUGAACGCUGGCGGCAGGCCUAACACAUGCAAGUCGAGCGAGCGGCGGACGGGUGAGUAAUGUCUGGGAAACUGCCUGAUGGAGGGGGAUAACUACUGGAAACGGUAGCUCAUACCGCAUACCAUCAGAUGGGCCCAGAUGGGAUUAGCUAGUAGGUGGGGUAAUGGCUCACCUAGGCGACGAUCCCUAGCUGGUCUGAGAGGAUGACCAGCCACAUGGGAACUGAGACACGGUCCAGACUCCUACGGUAGGCAGCAGUGGGGAAGAUUGGACAAUGGGCGAAAGCCUGAUCCAGCAAUGCCGCGUGUGUGAAGAAGGUCUUCGGAUUGUAAAGCACUUUAAGUUGGGCGGCGUUACCAACAGAAUAAGCACCGGCUAACUUCGUGCCAGCAGCCGCGGUAAUUC